GCAUCAAUGGUGAGGACUUUAUAUUGCCUUACAAAGUGGUGAUGACUUAAAUAUCACGUAUAAUAGCAUGUCACUGAGGCCC
rnacentral:snoRNA from 1 species